AAGUAAGAAGCAACCAAUUGCAUUUAGUUUCGGCCUAAAAGUCUGAUGAUCUCAUCCUUAUUUA
rnacentral:tRNA from 1 species